rnacentral:rRNA from 1 species
UACGUAGGGCGCAAGCGUUGUCCGGAAUUAUUGGGGCGUAAAGAGCUCGUAGGCGGCUUGUCACGUCGGGUGUGAAAGACCGGGGCUUAACCCCGGUUCUGCAUUCGAUACGGGCUAGCUAGAGUGUGGUAGGGGAGAUCGGAAUUCCUGGUGUAGCGGUGAAAUGCGCAGAUAUCAGGAGGAACACCGGUGGCGAAGGCGGAUCUCUGGGCCAUUACUGACGCUGAGGAGCGAAAGCGUGGGGAGCGAACAGG